rnacentral:rRNA from 1 species
UGGGAAUAUUGCACAAUGGGCGCAAGCCUGAUGCAGCGACGCCGCGUGAGGGAUGACGGCCUUCGGGUUGUAAACCUCUUUCAGCAGGGACGAAGCGCAAGUGACGGUACCUGCAGAAGAAGCGCCGGCUAACUACGUGCCAGCAGCCGCGGUAAUACGAAGGGAGCUAGCGUUGUUCGGAAUUACUGGGCGUAAAGGGCGCGUAGGCGGUUUUGUAAGUCAGAUGUGAAAGCCCCGGGCUUAACCUGGGAACUGCAUUUGAGACUGCAAGACUAGAGAUCGAGAGAGGAAAGUGGAAUUACGAGUGUAGAAGUGAAAUUCGUAGAUAUUCGUAGGAACACCGGUGGCGAAGGCGACUUUCUGGCUCGACCCUGACGCUAAAGCGCGAAAGCGUGGGGAGCAAACA